GGACUGAAGAGAAGAGUUACAAAUUCGUUGGUUAGCCGAAUCCUCUGGAAAGAGGGACCAAAGGAGGUGACAGUCCCGUAGGCGAAAACUAGCGAACUCUUCGUUUUUAAUCUUGAGUACUUCGAGAAACGGAAAUCUCGUAGGAAGCAUCCUGAACUAUCAGGAAAGGCUAAAUAUUUCUCGCGACCGAUAGUGAACAAGUACCGUGAGGGAAAGGUGAAAAGCAGCCCGGUGAGGGCAGUGAAAUAGAUCUGAAACCGUAUGCCUACCAGGACGCGGAGCUCAGACCAGUGCUUCGCACUGGAAUUUUCAAGUAACAAUUUUCAAUUUUCAUUUACUAUUUGAAAAUUGGAGUUUGAAAAUUGGAAAUUCCAAUGCGGAGCAUUGGCGAGUGACGCGGUGCCUAUUGAAGAAUGAGCCAACGAGUUUAUGCGUGUCGCAAGUCUAACCCAGCCCUUUUGGCACUAUAUUUAGUUGAUCUACAAUUAGAUUAUGUACUAUGUGUAUCUGAUCCAGGGCGUAAAGAAAGAUUUUCUCUACAUUGGUUGCACGAACGAUUUGAGAAGAAGAUUCAAGGAACAUAAUCAAAAAGAAGAAAAAUCAACUAAAUCGUAUGCGCCUUUCAGGUUGAUCUAUUACGAAGCAUAUCGCGAUGAGCGGGAUGCGAAAAAUCGUGAAAAGAAAUUAAAGCAUCACGGUAGCGUAAUUGGGCAUCUGAAAAGGCGAGUGAGAUAUAGUGUUGAGAGAUAGCGCCAAAAGGGCUGGGGGAGGCGCAGCGAAAGCUAGUCUGAAAAGGGCGUGUACGCAUCUCACUAAGGCGAGAUGCUUGAAAUGUAAAAUGCAAAUAUCAAAAUGGAAAAUGACAGUGCAAAAUGUAAAAGUGGCGAACCUAAAACAUUUUGGAUUUUAAAUUGUCAUUUUGAACUUUGAACUUUGAAAUUUUAAUUUUUAGCACCGAACUUUAGUGAGGUGCGUACGUGCGGCACGUGUAAGACCCGAAGCCAAGCGAGCUUGCCCUGGCCAGGAUGAAGGUCGACGAAGGUCGGCUGGAGGUCCGAACCGGUAGGUUGUUCAAUACCUUCGGAUGAGUUGGGGUAAGAAGUGAAAAGCUAAUCGAGCUUGGUAAUAGCUGGUUCUCUCCGAAAUAUAUUUUCGUAUAGCCUCGAGUGUUUCCUUUUGGGGGUAGAGCACUGGAUGGCGGUGAUAGGGCGAAAGCUCGCGCCGCCAAUCAAACUCCGAAUACCGGAAGGUAUAAGCUCGGGAGUCAGACUGCGGGGGCUAAGCUCCGUGGUCGCGAGGGGAAGAGCCCAGAUCGUCGUCUAAGGUCCCUAAAUUCUUACUAAGUGUGAAAGGUAGUCGUUUGCCGAUGA
rnacentral:rRNA from 1 species